AGCUCAAGUCUUGAACUCUGCUUGGUUUCCCAGAUCUUGGAUGUGAGUCAUGGAAAUGAACCUGAACUGAGAGUUGCUUUCCAAAGACUAUCUCACCACUGGGAUUCAGGCUGAACAAAGGAGUUAGAUUCAAAACAGGGAUUCUCUGUAUAGCCCUGCUGUCCUGGAACUCAUGCUGCAGAUGAGGCUGACCCUUGAAGUGAGAGAGCUGCUUGCCCCUGCCUUCUUACUGCUGAGAUUAAAGGCAAGUGACACCACUGUCCAGCUAAACCUAUUCUUAUAACUUAGAAGUUACAGUGAACAUAUUACAACCAAAGAAGUAUAUAGAAAGGCAGCUGAUUCUCACUCUACAUUCAAGGAAGAGUUAUAAAAAUACCAGGGACUUUGGCAGUCCCCUUAACAUGUUAUCUAGCAGUAUGAAAAUUGUGGUUAAUAAGUUCUGUCUUUGUGAAAUAUAAAAGAGACAGAAACAGCAGAAUGCUAUACUGAAAGAUGCCUCUACCUCACAUCUCAUCUUGUGUGUGUGUUGGUUCUUAUGUUAACUCUUUGCUCUGAAUGAAUACUGCCACCUAGUUUGCUUUAUUGCUGUGAUAAAACACCAUGACCAAAACCAACCUGGAAAAGAGAGAGAGUUUAUUUGGCUUACUUAUCUUGGGUCAUGGUACACAGAGAGUAGCCAAAGCAGGACUGUACUGUAGCAGAGGCAUGGAGGAAUGCUGCUUACUUUCUUGCUUGCUCAUAGCAUGCUGAGCCUGCUUUCUUAUACAAAGUAGGACCACCUGCCCAGGGGAUACCAACCACUGUUGCUGAAAAUAUUUAAUUCCAAUCCAGACUUUCUACCUUGUCUUUGGCCAUUUGGUUCCUGGAUAAAAGACACACACAACCUUUAUAUUUAUAAUAAGACUUAAUAAUAAGAGCUGUGGAGAUAUCUAUCCUCUAUGGUUUUAUAUCUAUUUACUAGACAAUAAUCCCAUUAUAUAAUUUGCCCUGCAUGUCUGGGUUACUAUUAACUCCAAUUAGCCAACCCACAUGACCAUUAUUUUAAGAUUCCCCAUGGCAGCUUCUUCUCUCUCCACUUUCUUUUUGUCCCACCUCCAUGGUUCUCUUCCGACCCCAUG
rnacentral:lncRNA from 1 species